CUUAGGACUCUGGAGAAAAGAAAAGCCUUGACAAACAAGGUCCUUGGCAGCUCGACGCCAUAGCAACAAGAAAACUUCCAUAAACCUGUCUGGAUACCAGAGAAAAAUGUCAGAGCACGUGCCACAACUCACAGCUCGAAUGGAGAGUAUGACGAUUCUGGGAAAGCGCAGAAGGAGCCAAUCUGCAGUGAGGAGUCACCUUCCCACGUGGGGUCCAUUGAAAGCUCCUUCUCACUGAGCAAUGGAAGACUCCUGAACUUCUAUUUUUAGCAAUAGUAGCUUUACUUUCUGCUCGAGUGUGUUAUGUACAGAGUGCUCAGCACUGGACUUAUUUUCCUUUUCCACCCUGGAUGCAACCCCUCACAUACAUGGACAAAAUUGGGAACUAUAUAUACUAAUAACACCUGUAUAUCCAAAAGAUAAGAAUAUCCCUUUCUCCGGGACAGAGCCAAUGGUACAAUUACCCUCAGAUCUCCAGCAUCCAGGACACCUAUACGGUUUUUCAAAAUUUAGCAACAAUAUUGAAUCCUAUCUUUUUCUUGUUACAUCAUUUUUAACAUCAGUUCGUCUAAUGGAUAUGUAAAUUUUACUCAAUCUAAUACUACUUUUGAAUAGAAUGUUACUUGUGUCAAUUGUACUCUCAAACAAUGUAUUGAUAAUAAUGACUAUAUUGGACUUUUGGUAGAACAACCAUCAUUGGCUAUUUUCCUUACUACAUUUCACAUGAAUGGUUCCAGAACUCUGAUGAACAUGCUCCUCAAAUUAUUACUUCCUCCUUAAGUCAAUCAAAACAAUUUAUUGGUCUCCUUAUUACUGGUUUAAUCAUUGUUGCUUCUCUUAUUGUAUCUACUACUGUUUCAUCUAUUGUGCUACAAUCUGAAAUUCAAACUGCACACUUUGUAAAUGACUUAGCAAAAAAUAUAUGUUUAGCA